rnacentral:lncRNA from 1 species
UUGAUAAAGCCUUGGAGGGUUUCUUUCUCUCUGGGAAUCCACUUCCUUAAUCACCAACACUUCAGAGCUAAUUACACUGAUUUAAUGCACCUGGCUUUCUCUUGCACUUAAACCCUCAAUGGGAGAGGAAAUACUCUGACCAAUCAGCAUUUAUUGGAAAGCCAUGAAACCAAUGAGGCAUAAGAUCUAAGAAUAUUUGCUUUAUAUAUUUGGGUGCUCUAAUAUUGGGUGCAUACAUUUUUAGGAUUGUUAUAGCCUGUUGCUAAAUUGAUCUUUUUAUAAUUAUAUGACAACCUUUGUCUCUUUUUUUUAAUGUUUUGACUUAAAGUCUGUUUUAUUUGAUAAAGUAAAGCUACUCUGGCCAUGAAAAGGGAGUUUUAUAAAAUAGUAGAGGAUUCCCAGGCGAUGCAUUCUUAAUGCCCUGAUACCUGUUCAGAAGGUUGAACCUCCAAAGCCAAAGAAACUGCUAUGUUAAUCUGUCACAGUAGUAGAGAAAAAAUAAAUAAAUGAAAAAUAAAAAAGAAACUGCUAUGUAUUAAUCUGCCCACACUUUCAAGGCUCUGAUUACCCACAAUAUGACUUAAAUGGUUCAAUGCUCUUGUUUAUGUAGUUUAACCUGAAAAGUGCCACUUCUCUCAAGGCAGAAGGAUUUAAGCAAAGGAAGGUACAUCUACCAACCUCCCAAGAUAAAGCAAAACGAUUUCAGAUUAUUAGGAUGCUUGGCUAAAAAAUGCACAUGAUGUCAACGUACCCACAGUAACAAGCUCGUGGUAACAAAUGGGACCCUCUCCUGACUGACACUGCAUACUACCUCCAUGACUCCACUCAUACUUUGUGAUAUGGUUUGGAUGUUUGUCCCCUCCAAAUCUCAUGUUGAAAUGUGAUUCCCAGUGUUAGCAAAAGAAACUACCAUCAGAGUGAACAGGCAACCUACAACAUGGGAGAAAAUUUUCACAACCUACACAUCUGACAAAGGGCUAAUAUCCAGAAUCUACAAUGAACUCAAACAAAUUUACAAGAAAAAAACAAACAACCCCAUCAAAAAGUGGGCGAAGGACAUGAACAGACACUUCUCAAAAGAAGACAUUUAUGCAGCCAAAAAACACAUGAAGAAAUGCUCAUCAUCACUGGCCAUCAGAGAAAUGCAAAUCAAAACCACUAUGAGAUAUCAUCUCACACCAGUUAGAAUGGCAAUCAUUAAAAAGUCAGGAAACAACAGGUGCUGGAGAGGAUGUGGAGAAAUAGGAACACUUUUACACUGUUGGUGGGACUGUAAACUAGUUCAACCAUUGUGGAAGUCAGUGUGGCGAUUCCUCAGGGAUCUAGAACUAGAAAUACCAUUUGACCCAGCCAUCCCAUUACUGGGUAUAUACCCAAAUGACUAUAAAUCAUGCUGCUAUAAAGACACAUGCACACGUAUGUUUAUUGCGGCACUAUUCACAAUAGCAAAGACUUGGAACUAAACUUCUUUUUUUAUAAAUUACCCAGCCUCAUAUAUUUCUUUAUAACAAUGCAAGAAGGGGCUAACACACCUUCUUUUGA